rnacentral:lncRNA from 1 species
UUAUCUAGUUAUUUUAGUUAUACACUGUCAGUAUGAAUGUAGUUUAAUUGAUUGGUAAAUGUGAUAUGAGAUAUUGGUAUGAGUUUGUUGGUUGCUUAUUGAUGAAAUUCUAUAUGUGAAAGACUUGCUGGUUACCCAGAAAAAGGGUGGACGAGCCGGUACAUAGGGAACCCUACUGUGAACGUUACUUCAAUCGGACAGGACUGGAAGUUCCUUACUGGAGAAGUUUAGGAGAUAUGAUUCACUCUCAUACUGGACGAGGUAUCGAGGCGAUGGAAUGAUUGGUGCUCAUUAUCGGAUAGGGUGUGGGGACGGCCGGUCAAUUACAAAAUUGGAGAUUGGAUUCACGAG